CCUGGAGGACAGGACCACAGGUUAGUCUAGCAGGAUAUCAGUCCAUCUUGCUAUUACUGUGUACCAGAGCCCGGGCAACACUAUAAAGAAGAGGCAUUUCUGUAGUUCCAACUUUAGUCCUACAUUAGGCCUCAGAGAGAGAGAGCGUAAGGACAGCGCGUGGUGCAAGAGUGACUCAGGGCUCAGGCUUAAACUUCAGGGACUCACUGCUAAGCAGGUUCUCCUGCUUGCUGUCCACAAGAACCACCCGCAAACUGAGCGUGGUGUGCACUCGGGAGGCAGAAGCAGGCAGAUCUCUGUGAGUUUGAGGUCAGCCUGGUCUACAGAGUGAGUUCCAGGACAGCCAGGGCAACAAAGAGAAACCCUGUCUUGAAAAGGAGGAGGAGAAGGAAGAGAAAGAAGAGGAAAAAGAGGAAGAGGAGGAGGGAGAGGAGAGUGAGGAAGAAGAGGAAGAGGAAGAGAAGGAACGUCCCCAAACACUGCUGAGAACAGUAACUCAGUGUCCUUCCCCUGGAUACCAAACCAUUCAAGGUUUCAACAACUCCCAUAUGGUCACCUCGGGAACCAAGCCUCUGUCACAGAGCCCUUAGGGGACAAACCACACUCAAACCUUAGCAGCCAGUGACCCUAUAAUAUCCUCCUAAAGCCACUGCCAGUUGGCUCCAAUGAAGCUACCUUCCAGCAUGUAGGCUGGCUUGACUCUGAGGAACCUCCAUGUUCUCUGCACUGUGUGGUUCCUGCUGAGGCCUCCUGUGCAGUCCCACUGAGGCACACAGACACCCCCUGUCAGCCACUCCACAGCACUCUGUGACAGAGUAACUGUUGGUCUUGGCUCCAUCUGCCUCUAGCCAAAGUGUGAGCCAAGGAGAGCACCCUGCUUAGCAACUGGGGUGCUGGCCUGGUACAUGAGCUCUGCGGGGAAUGACUAGGGUACUAGGGGAAUGACUGCGGGAAUCAGAACUCCCUCUUCCCCGAUGCUCUGGGGGCACCAUGCACUGUUCAGUUCUUUGCGGCCACUGCUGCUGUUAGGGGCACCAAGGGCUCUUGGCAAAGUCAUUCUUUGGCUGGGAUGUUGAAGAUCAGGACUGCGUCUAACCCUUCACCCAUUAGUAGCCGUACCUGCAGUCUGACUAGGACAAUACACUCUUGAGGCCAGGGCCAAAGCCCAGACAGUGCCUGUGACUCCCUCGAGGAGGCCGAGUCCUGAAUUCAGAAUGGGCUCUAAGCAGACAGCAAGAUUGGGGAGGUAAGGCAGGCUCAUCUUCACAGUCCUCUGAAGAUGUGGGGGACAGGGCUGGGAGCCCAAGUCUGGUCUUAGCCACCAGAAAGCCCUUUUCCACUCCCCCCCCCCCCGGGCUUCAUGGAGCUACAUUAAGCAGUCAACCAGGGUGUGGCAGGAAGAGGGCCAGUCUCUGCAACCCUCCCACUGCGGAGGGACAAGCUGCUGGAAUUACCUCAGGCCUGACUCACACUUCCUAGGAACUAUAUCUACCCGCCAUAUUAUUGCCCUCCUCAAAACUUCGCCCCGCCUGAUGGAAGUGAUUCCAUUGACUGGCAACAUAGACUGGAUUCUGACAACUGUACAACGACUGGCAUGAAGGGAAGAGGCCUCCCUCCAUCUGCUAAGGCCCUGGGCUAGAAAGGACCAGGGGGACAUCUUCCCACAGGGAAGGGUGAUAGGAGUAGCCUAGCUCCACAUUCACAGGUGGGGCCUGCGCUGGAAAGAUAGGAAACAGCCUGGCUGAGGGCAUGACAGGUAGCCAGAAGGUCAGGGAGUCUGUUAGAGGAUCCAAGGCGUCAGGCAGCUUUCACCAUCAUCCUGGGGAUGACGCAGGAUGUCUGUCUGUGGCUGCCUUGGGUCCUGGCUGGAAGUGGGGCAGAAGUGCCUUUGCCAGGUUCACCUGGGUACUGUUCAGAGUCUGGGGUCUGAGGGCUUACUUGGGAGAGGCAUUCCUCCCGAACGCCUUCUCUGCCCUGCAUAGCAGUCCAUGGUAGGUCUCACAAAAGCUGCAAGAUCAGGUGGGCUUCCACCAGCAUGGCUGCCAUCCUGUCCUCUGGUGGAAUCCUCACAAGAGAAAAGGGGUGUUUUCUGCCCAGGCCAGACAGGUUCCUUCCAUCUUGCCCUGACCCUCCACUGGAUCACCUUCAGUCCAGUCCCCUUCCCUCUCUCCGACAGUCUGUACGUUCCCCUGAAAUGCUCACCUGCUCUGGCCUCUCCCUUGCAUAAACUGCUGACUGUCCCAAAUGCCCACAGCCUAGACCCUCAGCACAGCAGAGCUCCAGCCUAGACCCCUCCACCUGACAGCCACCAGCUUGAGACUAUCACACCUAGAAGCCAUUGUUCAUGCUCAGCUUUAGAAACCACCCACCCUUCCUUCCUUCCUUCCUUCCUUCCUUCCUUCCUUCCUUCCUUCCUGCCUGCCUGCCUGCCUGCCUGCCUGCCUGCCUGCCUGCCUGCCUGCCUUCCUUCCUUCCUCCCUCCCUCCCUUCCUCCCUCCCUCCCUCCCUUCCUUCUUUCCUCCCUUCCUUCCCUUCCUUCCUUUGACAUUCUCAUUUGGUAGCCCAGACUACCUUGAACUCACAGCAAUCCUCCUGCAUCAUCUCUUAACAACCAUGCCUUUUAGAAUGCUCCUAAAACUUGCUCCACGGGAACUCCUACAUACCCUUCAUGAAGGCCUCCACUCAUCAGUCCCUACUUCUGACUGAUUGUGCUACACAGAGCCUGUCUCCUGUCCCACUGUGGUUGGACAACACCCUGCUUCACCUGCCAAUGAUGGCAGGUGCUGGAGUGCUUCCUAGAAGGAGGGGAUAAGUUUCUUGCCCUGCGUUCCCCGGUGCAGGGUUGGCCCUCAGCAGCACCCAGCAAGUGUCACCCAGUGAAUGAACAAAGGGCUUGGGAGACUGGGUGCUGCCUGUCAUUAGCUAUUCCUCCCCCACAUGCCCUGGGAGCUUAGUGCAGGGAGCAACUGAGUAAUGGCAGAAACAAGGCGGUUCUGUGCACACAGCCCACGGCCAGUGUCACAGGGAUGGGCUUUGUACUCAGUAAAAGAAAAUGGCACAGGAACCCAAGCAAAGAAGCUCAUAAAGGACCAUCUCCUACCACUUCCACCUCCGGGCCACAGAUGGCAGGACCUCUUCCAGGGCAGCUCUGCCAGGGUGCCCCCUCCUGCUUUCUCCCAGUCACUGCCUGCUCCCCAAGAACAGGGUAGGACAGGGCUCUCAUGACUAUGGGAGGGGGCAUGCAUUCUUGUCCACCCCUGGUGGCUGAGGCCAGGUCCUGAGGUGCCCAGAGAAAGAACAUUCAGUGAACUGGGAACUACCACGGGGUGGCGAUGCCAACUUCAGACCACACUGACGCAGCCGGAGGGACAGAGGGUAUCGCUUCAGGGGCCAGAUGCAAAGGGCACUUUUACAUUUGAGAGUGGGUGGAGUGGGAAUCUGAACUACCCGGGGAGCCUGGACACCAGAGCACAGCUCCUGCAACGGCUGGGAGGACGGCACUGGGAGAUCUGCCUCCUCUGGUCUAUCAAUUCAAGCCUAUUGGGGUCACCCUCCACAGCAUGCAUUCAAAACAAAGGGUUCCUGCUGUCUGGCUGCUGGCUGCUGGCUUACAACACACAUGGUCAAGACAGUUUCCUGGGUUGCAGAGGAGAAGACAAGAAGCCUGUGCUGUCAGGGGCCUGAGGGUCAGUGAUCUCCCGUGAUGUAGCUGGGUGAGUGGCAUUGGACACCAUCUCAGGCAUAUCCUCCUAUCCCUCCCUCUGUGUUCUGUCAUAACACUAGGUUCUGGAGGUGGGUAAGAGAAGAGUGUUCCUGGAGUUGGGGCUUGCCUGCCCUGUCCCUUGGGGAAAACCCUGGGUCAUACUGAUAACAAGCAAACUUAAGCAGACAUCCUUCCCACGGAGCCCGUGUCCUUGUUUAACCAAGGCCUUUCUGGAACUUGUACUCAAGGUCUGGUGUAGCUCAGUGACAUACAAAGGAUUUAUUCCUGUCACAGCCCUUGAAGAGCUGGGCCUGCCCGGCGCCCUUAGUUCAUGGAACGUCUUAACCUCAUGUGCCUGCACACACUCUUGGACCCCUCAGCCUGAAGCCUGUAUCUCCAUCCAUGUUUCUACCUGACACCAGCUGAAACCAUCAUGGACGAGGCUUCAUCAGGAUUCUUCAUUGGUCUGGAACAAUCUGAAGGUUGACCAUAUGUCAAGCAUCAGGGCCAUCACCCAAGCUCCAACCAGAGAGGCUGGUCAAUGGCAGGCCUGAAAGAGUCCUCAAGAGGCCCCUACUGAGGUGUCUUAGUUGAUGUUCUAUUGCUGUGGAGAGACACCAUGACUAAGCCGCACAUAAAAGAAAGAAAGCACUUUAGUGGGGGCUUCCUUUAGUUUCAGGUUAGUCUGUAAUCAUCAUGGUGGAUACUAUGGCGGCAGGCACGCAGGCAUGGUGCUAACCAUUAGCUGAGAGCUUACAUCUAUCUAUCUUAUUGGCAAGAUGGAGGUGGGGGAGGGUGCAGGGGGGCUGGCCUGAGCUUUUGAAACCCCACCCCCAGGGACACAUCUCUUCCAACAAGGCCACGCCUUCUAAUCCUUCCUAAACAGUCCACCUACAGAGAACCAGACAUUUAAAUAAGUAAGUCAAUGGGGGCCAUUCUCAUUCAAACCACAUAGGACAUAUGGCUCCUUGGCCACUAACGGGAGUGGAAACAUCUUCUAUGGCUGGUACCUCCUUUGCAGUCAGAGUUCCGAUCAACACAGGUGACCAAAAAGUUCAUCUCUUAGCUGCCCAACAGAGCAAGAAUGUGGCAGGGUCUGGCCCAAUGUCUUGCCAAUGCUCUGCUAGUUAGCUCUGCAGUGGGAGCACCCUUUCCCCAGACACCCCAGCAGAAGUGGAGUACAUCUGAAAAUGCCAUACACCGUGAGAGCCAACCAGCCUGAACCCCAACCCCUGCACUUCUCCAUGGAAGUGAGGGGGCUGAGGAGGAGGGCAGAGCUCCUAGCUGGCCUUCUGUACAGUGGUCAGGAGCCCUGACUCCCAGCACUAUCCAGAUGAGCUCCAAUACUGUCAUGCCCCAGCUCCAUCCCCUUCCCAGGGCUGCAGCUGGCUGUUCUCACUUGUACUCCAACCCUACCAGGGCAAAAACCUGUCAGCAAGUCAGCAGAGCUAAGAGUCGGGUGGAGACCUGUGCCCACAACUAAGACACACCCUCUGUGCAUGUGGGCAGCAUAUGUUGGAAGCUGGGUAUGCAGCCCAGAGGCAGGAGUCAUGUUGCCUGUUCUAGACCCAUGGCUCCCUGAGGUCCCUGGUGGUCUCAGCUCCAUCUACAGCUGAAGACCUAUGGUGGGGUUAGGGCUCAUCUAACUAAACUCCCCUGAGACAGACAGUGUCUCAAGAACCUGGAGCCCAUUCCAAGUUGAUUUGUCCUUCAAUUGGGAGGAAUCAGGGGUCUCCCCCAGCAAGUCAGUUUCAAGGGCACUGAGCCCUGAUAGGUAAGCUGAGGCAGGAAGUUACCAGAGGUCUUACACAUUUUCAAGAGCCACAGACUAAGGUCAGGGGAAUGGCUGCUGGUUGGGCAUGUGACAUCCUGGCCUCCUGCUUGCUCCCCUGGACCCUAGGGCUUCUAAGUGAUUUCCCAUAGACAUCAGGAAGCCCUGCUGUAUCUAGUGGAGGUGUGUUCUGCCCUAUGGGUUUCAGAGCAUUGAAUUAAUAUCCAGAGAAGGUAGAAGGUAGGUCUCCAAGCCCUUUUCUCGUCUUUUUUGGGAGCCAAGCCUGCUGGUAUCUCAGAUCUCUCCAACUUCCACCUCACAGCAGAGAUACCUUUUGCUUCAUUACCUCUGACCCCAUGAUGUGACACACAGCCCUGGGUUGUGGGGAGGUGGGGGGAAGAUUGUCAGUCAGUAUAUGAGCUGCACUCUAGGCCACGAGGUUCUCCACCUGUCUGGGAACAAACCUUGCUGAGAAUCCCCAAGAGCUCUGCCCAGCACUCCAUGCAACUGUGGCGUGUGUCUCCAGGGACAAGAAACAAAGCGUUGGGUGGGGACAGCCCAGAGUCCCAGUGGUAAUGGCUGAGUUGGUAUGCAACAUUUUAACCUAACCUGGAUCCAGGCUCCUCUGAGUGGCUCCUCGGGGAGUUACUUCUGAGCUUGAUGACCUCUGGCCAGAUCCUGAUGUCUGUGGCAGGGACACCUCUCCCCUCCCUUCCACCUCAGGGCCAAAUCUCAGCUGAGCAGUGUUUACAGCUUUGACCAUGAGGUGAAAGAGUCCACAGCUUGUGAACGCUGAAAAGACAGGAGGCUGGGGACCUCUGGGAAGGGCCAUCAAGGGCACCUUAGAAUCGGCGGGACCAAGAACCAGGUCUGAACAAGGUCGUAUCCAGCAGGCAGCAGAAACCAGACAGGGGCUUCGCAAUGGUCACUGUUACCUACUGCUCAGGAUCACUCUGUGGCCAGGCCUAUGCAUGAAUUCAUAGUGAGGACACCCAUCAACCGGACAGAACCCAACCCAGGGACCCAUCUGAAUGGACUCCACAGUGGACAGCUUCCUGUGAGGCUCCCACACACCCCAGAUGGCAGCACGGUUCACUAGCAUCUCUGCUGGAGUGACACUCGAGGAUUUAAGUCCACGAAAGGAACAUCGUGCUGCUACCUCAGGUCUGGAUAUCUUUGCUAAGAGUUAAUCUUAAAGCAACAUGGGGUUUGGUUUGUGGAAAGUUCUUGGUCAAAGCUUGCUGAAUUAGAGGACAAAUGUGCUAAAGAAUUACAAGGAUGUUUAGGGUAUCUCAUGCCCUACGGUCCACAGCACAGAGGGCACCACUUGUGGCAGGGUAAGUCUAGUGCAACGUAUUUGCCAGGUAGAAUACUAUACAACUCUGAAGAGGGAUCAGGAGGAGGGGGCAAGAGGUAAACAUUCCAGGACCACUGAAGUGGAAACUUAAGGGCUCUUUUGGAGGAUCAGUUGUGUUGGAUGGUGUUUUGCUGGGGCAAAUGCAUGAAGGAGUAUCUUCCUGAAGUGGACACAGGUGAAAGACUAAGGCAGACUCGGAAAGGAACGUUUCACUGAAGCAGACACAGGAGGGAGAAUGUUCUGCUAAAGCAUGCACGUGAAAGGACACGUGACUCAGGAUUCUUUGCUAAUGACACACAUGUAUUGGUCCACCUUACAGAGCUGCAUUUGUCAGGACUCCAUAGAGAGAAACGCAAACUUCUGGUGGUGUGCUGUAGUUUCCUGGCAGCUUCCAAGGACUCGGGCUGACUGGAUGCACAUGCUGAGGCAAGGCACGUGUGGGACACGUGAUGUUUAGAGGGUAUAAAUAGGACUCCAUGGAGUGACAGACACAGAGCUAGGCUUGCUGGUACAGCUAGCUGGGCAGAGCUUGUGGGUUUUGAGUCUUCACUGAUCUUUGCUUCUUCGAGAGAGGCACAGCUAGGAACUUCUGGUGUUCCUGCUGGUCCCUCCUGCAGACUUAAGCUGAGGCUGAGGCCUGGCUGUCUCUGCUAGGUAGUACCUCUCACUGCUGCUGAUUCAUGUUUGCUAACCUGACUCUUCCAAACCCAAAUGCUGGUGUAUCAGCUGGUGACUGGACUGAGCUGCCACUGCCUGCUGACCUGUGAACUGUGAACCUGUGAACCUGUGAACUCAACUGCUGAUUUCCAGACAGCACAGACGGAAGUUGCUUCAAAGACCCUUUCUAAACAGGUCCACUUCCCUGUGUCCUUUCUUUCCCACUACCUCUGGUGGGUGGUGGGCUAGCAGGGAGGUUAAAACGUUUAAGAACUAUCAUGAAAAGUAAGGUUUAAAAAUAUUAAAGUUACAGACCACAGCUACAAAGAUUCAGAAAUUAACAACUGUCCCAACUAGGCCACUGUGAAUGCACACUUAAGCCCCUUGUUGCUGGCAGUGGUACUGUCUUAGGAAAGUACACGGUGAGAACAGUGUUUCCUCCGUUCCACAUUGCCACUGUUCCCCCGAAAAAGUAUCAGGCUGAAGAGUGAUGAAGAUGAUGAUGAAAAUGAAGAUGAUGAUGAUGACAACGAUAGCGACGACGACGACGACGGCAACGACAAUGGCUAAUAUUGUUAUUAUUAUUAAUUGAGACAGGGUCUUAGCCUAGACUUUACCAUGUAGACCAGGCUGGCCUCAAAUUCACAGAGAUCUGCCUGCCUCCUGGGUACUGGGAUUAAAGGAGUGUGCUACCACACCUAGCAAGAUUAUUCUUUAGCCUCAACCAGUCCCUUCUGAAUCUCUGACUUGACAACCCCAGGAGAAACAAGGCUAGCUAGUGCUGGCCCUGAGAGCAAAUACUUGCCUGGGCACAGCAGAUGCCAUGUGCUCUGUAGACCACAUCCAACUGUUACAGACAGGGUCAGACCAGGUAACCCUGAUGUAGGGAUAUGCUAUCAAACACACAGGCCACCUGGGCACAGGGCCCUCUGCCCUGCCACUGGCUGCAGCAGGUGUCACAAGGUCCCAACCCACCGCCCUCCGGAUAGAGUUCCAACGAGUGGGCGUGCCCAACAUCAUGGUAGCUCAGCAUAGCGCCUCAAGGAAACCUCAAGUCAUACACCAAAGAGAAGCAGAUAAAACACUCAGAGUUCAGGUCAGGGGGCUAGCACGGGGCACACAGGUCCCAGCAUAGCCCUGAUACUGGAAAUAACCAGACAAAAAAAAUCUAUCAAGCCCCCAAACCUGACAGAGUUUCUAUGGUGAAGUCACCCAAGUGGAGAAACUGAGGCCAAGACGGGGGCGGGGUCCCCUAGGAGGACUGUACCUGAGAGGUCAGAGCCAGGCCUUGAACACAUGAACCUCCCUGCCACCCCUAGGUGAGGGCCUGAAUAGGAAGGAUGCCCUCUAUCCCUUCCCUAGCCACUCCUGUAUGUAUACGAGGUCAGGUAGAGUUGUGUGGUUUCCCUUGAUUACUCUGUGCAGAUGAAGAAACUGAGGCAGCCCCAGAGGGAGCAGGUACGAGUCCAGCGUCCUACCCACAUCUACUUAACACCUCCUGUACCGGACUCCCCCAAAAGCUAACUAAACUGCCUCCUUAAUCACAGGCCAGGAGAGCCAGCUUGUAAAUCAGCAGCCAGCCCGCCUGAGGCAGUGUGCCCCACACUGGGCCAACUGUGUCCAUGUGAGACCCUGUCCAAGCUGCCUGGGCUCCUGGCUGGCUGCCCAGAUGGCUCCUGGACAGAAUCUCGUUUUCUCCAGUUUUCAUCUCUGACCAGGAGGCUGAGCUGCUCCAGGGAGCAUUUACCCAAUGCAACUUUGACCCUCGAGGCCCUGACUACCAUCCCACUGUGCCUAGGAAGCCAAAGGCCAGCCCAAAGGAGCCUGCUCUGAGAUCUCCCACUGCCCACUGUUUGCUGGGAGUGCAUGACAACAGAGGGCUCCAUGACCCUCAGAAGGCUGCCAGGGAAAUGGAAGGUUGGGAAAGGGUUUGAGGCAAAUGGGUUGUAAAAGGCUCAAGAUUCAAGGUUGAGGCUUCCCCUGAGUUUGGAAGGCCCCAGUGGUUGGCUUCCUCUUUCCGUCCCCGAUGGCUCCCUCCACGGGUGUUGCAAGCAAAGGCCCUCUUUAACCUUCAGCUUGGCAUAUUAGGGGUCAGCUCUGCCGAGAUCUGAGGGCGACCAGGGCUUGUUGAGUGGCUGGAUGACACAGGAUGUUGUAGGGAGUGGUCGCUAGGAAGCAGGCCCAGGUGCACCUCCCAUUCUAGCUCUUCCUGGGUGAGGAAUGGUCACACCAUCUACCAGCCUCUCUGGGCCUGCCCUGUGUCAGGUCCUCAGUACAUUCGUCCCAGACUUUCUGCUGUGCGCUAGCGUCCACAGGGCUCAUUUCCGCUCUCUGCCCACUUGGCUUCCUGCCUCGUUUAAUCUGCUUAUUCUCCUAGAGAAAUGUGUCUCAGGUAUGGUCCCUAGUGGGGAGGACAGGGAUGCACCUGUGGCCAUCUUAAAUAGUCCCUACCAACAUGGCAGUGUAACUGUCUCCAGGGACUCUUGGGAGGGCUGUUAGCCCAAGAUCAGAGGUGAGAGGGAAAAGCUGUUUUGGGUGUUCAGUGGAACCCCUGUGCAGCUCAGCCCAAAAUCUAUGCCAAGAUCAAAGUCGGAGGUAGGCUGAUGCAGGGCGGAAAAGGAAACUAUAACACCAGAGUCCAGCAGAGAUAGAAGAGCAGAGGGUCUCAAAUCAACUACAGAGGUAGCAACUAAAAAAAAAAACAGUAUUGGCUGGGUGGUGGUGGCGGCGGCGGCGGCGGCGGCGGCGGCGGCGGCGGCGGCGGCGGCGGCGGCGGUGGUACAUGCCUUCAAUCUCAGCACUAGGGAGGUGGAGGCAGAAGCAGAGGCAGAAGCAGAGGCAGGAGGAUCUCUGAGUUUGAGGCCAGUCUGGUCUGUAGAAUGAGUCCCAGUACAGCCAGGGCUACACAAAGAAAACCCUGCCUUGACAAACAAAUGAACAAACAAACAAACAUAGUAUUGUAACCUAGCCAGCUACCUGUUGCUGGAGAGGUCAUGGACUCUAGGGGAGAACCUAGCUACUACUGCCAUUUUCUUUUUUCUUUUUUUUUUUUUUUUUAUUAACUUGAGUAUUUCUUAUAUACAUUUCAAGUGUUAUUCCCUUUCCCGGUUUCCGGGCAAACAUCCCCCUCCCCCCCCUUCCUUAUGGGUGUCCCCCUCCCAACCCUCCCCCCAUUGCCGCCCUCCCCCCAUAGUCUAGUUCACUGGGGGUUCAGUCUUAGCAGGACCCAGGGCUUCCCCUUCCACUGGUGCUCUUACUAGGAUAUUCAUUGCUACCUAUGGGGUCAGAGUCCAGGGUCAGUCCAUGUAUAGUCUUUAGGUAGUGGCUUAGUCCCUGGAAGCUCUGGUUGCUUGACAUUGUUGUACUUUUGGGGUCUCGAGCCCCUUCAAGCUCUUCCAGUUCUUUCUCUGAUUCCUUCAACGGGGGACCUAUUCUCAGUUCAGUGGUUUACUGCCAUUUUCUUAAACCAGUAGACCCUCUAACUGUAUUCUAAAUGUUUACCCCUAUGCCCACAGGUGAGUAUAGUGCUCAGCCCUCAGCCCUCAUCAAGAAGCUUCAUUUUGCAGUUCAUGAAGACAAUUUUUUUUUUGGUUCUUUUUUUCGGAGCUGGGACCGAACCCAGGGCCUUGCACUUCCUAGGCAAGCGCUCUACCACUGAGCUAAAUCCCAAACCCCUACAUGAAGACAAUUAAUGAAGGGCCACAACCCAUCACAAUAUAGAGAAGAGACCACUGGAUGCCCAGAUGAAACUGAUGCAUUUAUAAUGCCACCCCUAAACCUAAGACUCAGGGGGCAGCACAGCAGAGGGGCAGAAAGAUUGUUAGGGCCCAAGGACCAGAUUAUCUGCUGCUAGAUGGUGUCUUCUGGAUAUGAGAGGGAAGCUGCACCCAUGAAAUCUCAACAGUAUAGUUACUUACCCAGGACCCGCACAAUGACCACACCAGUGGACAUGCCAACAUGGGUGGAGGGAGAUUCACAAGGCUUUCCCUCCUGAAUGGCUUAGAGGAAGGAUCAGCCAUGAGCCCCCUGAUGGGUUAUCUAGCCUGAAAUGGUCAGCCCUAAACAUAUACAGAAGAGCAACACUAAGUUGACUCAGUGGUGUGUGUGUAUGUGUGUGUGUAUGUGUGUGUGUGUGUGUGUGUGUGUGUGUGUGUGUGUGUGUGUGUGUGUGCGCGAGAGAGAGAGAGAGAGAAUGUGAGAAUACGUGAGUGAGUGGGUAACAAUAGAAAAAAAGGCCCAUGAGAAUGAAAAGGAAGGAGAACAUGGGAGGGAUUGGCAGAGGGAAAGAGGUGGAGAUGAUGUUAAGUACAGCACUCAUGUAUGAAAUCCCUCGCCCCCAAAUUUAAAUUUAAAGAAGUAGAAGGCUGGAGACUCACUGAGUAGGACACUUGCUAUGCAAGCAUAGAGCCUGAGUUUGAACUCCUAGGACCCAUGUAAAAAUGCCUGGCACGGCCACACCCUGUUGGUGGGUAUAGACAUCCUAGCCCGCUCAGGCGAAACAGCAACUCUCAGAUUCCGCGAGACCCCGUCUCAAUGGAAUAAGAUGGGAAGUGAGGGAAGACGGUGCGUGCUCACACGGGAGGGACACAGGGAAGGUGGAAGGAAGGAAUAAAGGAAAGAAGAAAGGGAGGAAGAGAAACUAAGAGAAAACGGACAGACCCGGAGCAGGCAGAGGCAGGAACCAGCAGGUACAGCUGCUUCUGUGCGUCCUUCCAGUCUCUGGAUCCCACCGUCCACAAACCAGACAUCUUCCUGGGCUGCCUACAGCCUGGAGCGUCCAGAUGAGUCCAGGGCAGCACAGGUACGAGCCGGGCCCUGUGCGUCUCCUUCCCAUGAGGCAUGGUUAAUAGAGUCCUCUCCAGCCCCACCCUAUACCAGUGAAUGAGCCCCAGCUCUGGGACACCUAGUGGGACAGCUCGCCAUGUGUGGGGCUGGGCCUCCCCGUCUCUAUUACUCCUAAUGAAAUGCUCAGGAUGUAUUCAUUCAUGUGAAUGUCAUGAAUGCCAACACUUCUUGUUCCCCAACUGCUGACAUCAAUACAUCUGCACCCCCAAGCAGCACUUAGGUACUCUCUAUUCUGCAAACUCCCCCACCUCUUGGAAGGAUGACUCUGGCUCUCUCUGUGCUCCCUACACAGAGAUGUGGAAGCAGCAAUUUCCUGGGUUUGGGGGCUGGUGGAAAAAAAAAAAAACAGAAAAAACGAUGACGUUAGUCCUUUUUUGUCUAGGGCAAGGAGCCUACUUCCUGUAAGGAGACCAGAGGCUGCUUACCUAGAAUCAGUGCCUUGCCUCGCCGAGCCCAGCUAUGGCUGGGAGUGCAUCCUGCCCCUCUGUUAGCUGGCUGUGAAUCUGCUCUUUUCCUUACAAGACAAAGGGCCAUGUCUGAAGUGGCACUGCUGGGCCUGCUGCCUCCUUAUUCUCUUUCCCUGUGUCCAGCCUACUGUGGGGUGGUGGGGACAGAUGAAUACCUGGCCUCCUAAAGCUACUGCUUUGGUUACGUAAGUUUAGUCUCUGCACGGGCAGGUAGCGGUGGGCAGGGGCUCUGGAUGUUUCAAGCAAGGUUAACCAAGUCCCCUAACAGCUUGGGUGGUCAUCUCUGGGCAGGCUGGACACACUCACCAUUACCAAUACCAGAAUUAGACCAUGUCUGGGAAUUUGGGGUUGGUAGUGUUCUUGAGUUUGGGAGAAAGCCUCCCUUAAUCAGGCCCUUCCUAUGCCCAUCUUCAAAAGUCACACGGCCACAUCCAGAAGACCACAGAGCACUAUCUGCAGACAGUGUGGGCCCGAACGUGCAUAGCAGUGUUAGUAACAGGGUUAGGUUUCUACAACAUCACAGGCGAUUAAGACGUCCAGCCACGUCCAGCCCACAAGAGAGGUCCCAGUGCUUUCCUGUGGACAUGCAGGAUUGAUGCUUUCCUCCACGGGCCGCGGGCCGCAGGCAAAGCCAGCGUUUGUUCUGCACCUCAACCCUAAAAUGCACCAUAUCUUCCUGCUGCUGGUGGAUGGGGAAAAAGAGAAAGAGAAAAAUGGAUUGAGGGAGACAGAAAGAGAGGGAAGGAGUCAGUGGGAGGCAGAGUGUCAGUGAAUGAACGUUGUUAGCAUUGCUCUGGAAAAAAUGACAGAUUCAAAACCUGCAGAGCCAGUCAAUUGCACAUCUAUUUUCCUAAGCAGGGGAGGGGGGUGCUACUUUCCUGAAAGGACUUGGCCUUGAAGUAUGAAGUCAAACAACUGGAGCUGGCAGGCAGACAGUUCCUCUGGAUUCCGCCAGGCUGAAUAACUGUGGCCCAGUCGCAGGUCAGGCUGAGGCACAAUGUGGCUAUUCAUAGCUCAGGGGGCAGGGGCCUUCCAGUCUUAGAGUCCACGGCACCAGGGACCCCAGAGGUUUGACCCAGAGCCAAUUGUAGCUCUGUGGCUGUUAUGUGUCCCCCAGAGGCUGAGAGGCCAAUGGGGCAGUCUGGGGGCAGACAGAACAGAGUCUUGCUCUGAGCCACUAACAAACACAUCAAGGAAACACCUGAGAACGGGGAUUUUAGGCCAUCAAUCAUGGGAGCUCAGCUGGAUGGGGCUCCAGUGCUCUGACCUUCCUAAGUCUUCACGGCUGCUCUCUCGUCCCCCUCAUGAACACAGCCCUAUCUACUCCUGUGGACCUACCAUGGGCUUCCUGUGGCUGCAGCAUGUAGCCUUGUCAAAGCAGCCAUGGUUUCUGUGUCUAGAACAGAUAAGAAGCUGGCACUUGGGGUACAUGCUGGGACAGGGAGUAGCUGGAUACAGAAGAGUCCAUGUGCUUUUGCGUGCAGCGUCUGUCUCAAGACUGUCUCAUGAUGGCAGGAGGGUUUUGCGAGGGUCUGGCUAGAGCUGUUUAGAACACUGGUUCUUAAGGGUGACAAGUCUGUCCUCUCUUUAUUUCACAGAGGACACCAUGAGAUCACUGCACAGUCCUCCUUGGUUGUUCUGCUGGGGAAAAGCACAAUUUAUGUCUAGUCUGUGCUUAUGGAUAACCAACCCAGCUGGUCAAGGGAAUGACAUUGCUAACCUCUGCUCUUCCUUCCUCCACCUAGGACAGAGCAGUGCGACCACCACACGCUCAGAGGAGGAUGGUCAACACUGCCCUUUGCCCCUCACUCUGCUCAGGAUCAGUGCGGAAGCAGACAGGGUGAGCUCUGGCCAGGGAGCUCUCAGAAAGCAGCCUUAGGGAGCUGGGCCUCAGCUCCUUAUAGAGCUGGAGUCCUCAGAUACAGGCAUGUCUGUGUGACCAGUUGUAGACAUAUCUGUGUAAAAGCAGCUCAGGAAGUCUCUCCAGAGAGGAAGGCCUACUGUAUUCCGGCCUUCAUAGACACUUCCAAUGCACCGACAAGGGACCACCCUUCUAGGUCCAGGCUGGAGGAGUGACAGUUGGCACAAACGAUCUCUGAGUGCCAACUGCAAUGGGCUAUUACAGCUGGCUCACUGGUAGCUUUGCAAAUACCCAGUGCUCUGGAGCAAUACUGAGAGAGGCCAGGUGCCAGAGGUUAGGAACACAGGUCCAGUUUGGGAUGAACUCCCUACCUCCAGACCCUUGUGGUCUCCCCCACAGGGGUGUUGAGACACCUAGCUAAGGCCCUUUGAGAUGGAGGUGAAAGUCACCCCGGAGCCUUCCUGAGAGUCAUGGAGUCCCAGAGUAUGUCUGUGUCUGUCUUCUCCCCUCCCCUCCCCCACUUCUCAAAACCAGUUUCACUGUGUAGCCCUGGCUGGCCUAGAACUCUGUAGAUUAUGAUGGCCUCAAAUUCAGAGAUCCACCUGCUUCUGCCUCCCAAGUGCUGGGAUUAAGGGCACGUACCACCACCUAGCUGCAACUGUCUUUAUUCUUGAAGCCAGUUUCACCCCUAGAAGGUCAUCACACCAUACACUCCUCAUGAGAACACAAGUCAAGUGGGUCACACACAGUAGUACCAGCUAGCAAGGACCAGUUGUGUGUGUCUCUCUCCAGCUGCAUGUGUGGUGACAAUGAUUAGAUGCAGCAGCUUGAAAGCAGGACAGGAGGUGGGAACACCCUGGGAAGUGUCAGGAUGACAUAUCAGCUCCCCUCCCCCACCCCAGAACUGGCUGACACACUUCAGGCACAGCCACUUGAAUCUGAUAGCCUCCAACUUCCUCUUAGUGGUUAAAAGACUCCAUGUGACAGUGACUUAUGUGUGUUCACAUGUAAAUGUGCCUGUGCCCACAAACGUAAAGCAAGUCAACAUCUAAGACAAUGAUAAUAAAACAGAAUAACUUAAUCAAGUGAGCAAGCCUCUAAAACUAAUUGAUUAAUUUAAUUUUAUUUUAUUUUAUUUGAGACAGGGUUUUAUUUGGUAGCCUAGGCUGACUACUGAGUGGGAUUAUAGGUGUGACCCACUAUGCCCAGGUUUGCAAACUUUUUAUUUAUUUUGUUUUUGUAAGACUGGACUUCUCUGUAUAAUAUCCGUGGGUAUCCUAAUACUCACUCUGUAGACCAGACUGGCCUCAAACUCACAGAGAUCUGCCUGCCUCUUCCUCCUGAGAGCUGGGGUUAUGUGCUACCACGCCCAGCUGGUUUGCAAAUUCUAAUUUAUAAAAAAAAUUGAGCUUUUAAAAUAUGUAAUAACAGCAAGGCAUCCAGAGGUCUACAGGCACACUGUGUCUGCUUUGCCAGUAGGCUUCCGUGAGCCUUCCUCUGCCUCCCGAGAGCCUGCUCCUCUCUGAGCCUACAUCGUCAUGUUCUCCACACACAAAUGAAGGUGACACUGCUGGAUCCCAUGUUACCCAGCAAACACUCUCCAUGAGGUAGCAGUCUGUCCACGGGCCAGGUAGGGCCAGUCUGUGUCCUCUCCCCAUGACUCUAGGACGCCCUUCAGAAUGGGGCUGCCCUGCUAUCUGUAUCUGACCGUGACUCAAACCUGCUGUAGUAGGGAACAGGCUAUUCCCUCUAAUUCUGUCCCCUGCAUCAGGAAGGACGGUCACUUCUGCUCUCUGCCCACUGGCUCCCAGUAGAGAGAACUGACUUGUCUCACAGAUGUCCCCUCCUUCUCUACUGAUCACAAACACAGAAAGGAAGGAAGCAGCCCUGAGUAUCCCUCGUCUGCCAUGAUACCUUGCACUUUCUGUACCUUAGCCUUAUGAAAGAUGGCUCGGAGCGUAAAGGCCUGUCAUAAAUCAGACUGCCAGAGUUUGAUCCCUGGGACUCAUAUGACAAAAGAAGAGAACCCACCCCUGCAAGCUGUCCUCUGACCUCCAUAUGUAAUGCUAUGGUACACAUGCCCCCCCCCAACCCCAAAAGUAAGAAAAUAUAAAAAAAAAUUACUCUCUUUUUAAAAUAGAACCAUGUCAAACAGCGAUCCAAUUCCAUUUAAAACCACAUCAGAAAUAAUAAAAUAGGGGCUGGAGAGAUGGCACAGUAAGAGAACUUGACUUCCUGGCAACUUAAAAGCUGACUGUGCUGGUGCACACGUGUAACCUCCAUGCGCGUGGUGGAGACAGAAGAACCAGCGGGGUUCACUGGCUGCCAGCCUAGCUCCAGGUUCCGUGAGAGACCGUCUCAGAGGUCCAGAGUGAUGGAGCAGGACACCCGAUGUCCUUCUCUGGUUUCUGCCCUUACACACACAGUCAUGCGAAUGCCCAUCCACACACCUACACAUACCAUACACACACCCAGACACACGCAAUGGAAAAUUUAAGGAUGGUAAAACAGCAGCAAGUUUAGCACAGGAAGUGCAGAGCUUACACUCCGGAAUGCACAGAAUACUGUUAAAAUAACUAAAGAGGAUCUAAGUGAACAUGAAGGCAUCCUCAUGGAUGCGGAGACCUAAUACAGUGGUGCCCUCCCUAUAGUCUGAAUGUCCCCUCACUUGUGGGUUGAAACCUACUUGCCAAUGUGAUAGCAUUAAAGGACGGGGCUCUUGGGACUCUAUUUGUGACUUUAUGAAAAGGCUGGAAGUAAGCAUCCAGACCCUUCUCCCGCUCUGUUCGUCCCUCUGAGGAGAGAGAGAGGAGUAACAUCUUGAAAGCAGAGGACACGCCUCAGGAGACACUAAAUCGUGCAGCACCCUUACCUUGGAUUUCCCUGCUCCAGAACUGAGGAGACUUAUUUCUCCCCUUUAGCAACUGUCCAGUCUCAGGUGUUUUGUGACAGCAACACAGUCUCCAACAUCCCCCAAUUUAAGCUACAGAUUAAUACAAUCCCAGCUGGAUUCACAGGAACUGACAACUCCAUUCUAAAAUUUACACAACAUUGCCAAGGACCCAACCCAGGCGCAAAACCGUGAAAACAUACAAAGAGUGAAGAUUCAUGCUCACCAACUUUUGAAACUUACUACAAGCAGUGACAGUAGUUCACUGCUUACACGGUAUUCUGCUUACAUGGGCCCAGGCACAUGAGCCCAGAAUCUAGACAAGACAUGUACGUGAGGACAACUGAUUUAUUACCAUUAUUGUGUAUGGGUGUGCAUCAGCCCAACUCUGCUCAAAAAACCUCAUGACCUUUUUCAGAGUUCGUUUUCUUGUGGUGUGUUUUUUUUAUACACAUGAACAGUGAAAGCCUGGAAUCCACCCCCAUGCCUACCCACGAAGGCCUGGCAUACAACUGUGGGGCAGCAGUGUGUUGAAACACUGAUUUCAAGAUGUGCCAGGCCUGGAAAUGAAUAGGUGCUAUGUAUGGCCUGUUGGCACCAAGCUGUGUGAAUACAACCGAGGGAGACUGGCUGGUGCUCAGAGCAGCACUGCCUUUCCCUCCCCCGAGAUUGACUGUCUGCAGGAGUGACUCACAUUCGCCAGAGCUGGGAGAGCUGCUGGCAGCAGAUGACACCGGGGGCCUAUGGCAUGCCCUUGGAAAAAGGGUAACGGACAAGUUCCUUAUCUGGAUGGGAUGGGGUAGGGAGGACAGGAUAACACAGCCUGUCUUGCCCAUCUCCAAGCCUGCUGUUUGCUGUUUGCUGACACCCUGAUGCCGACAGUGGCAGUGACUAGAACAGCCUGGGGGCAGGAGCUUAGGGGUAGAGGACCUUCAGGCCCAUUAGCCUAAAGCCUCCAGUAUUUCCCAUAUUUAUUACCCACAGAAGCCUCUGCCCCAGUGACUCUUCCUGGGAACCUUCUUGGUCCACAUUCCAGGACUCUGAUACCCUGAGGGUGGACAGUGUCAGAGCUGUGACAGCACCUGGUAAUGCUAGGAACUCUUCAAGCUCACAACCAAAGCAAAGUGCCCCACUGAGCGCUGCUGGCCACCAGGCCACACAGGCACUGCUCCGACCUUAUUAGCGAUAGCCCCUCUUACAAGAAGAUCCUUCUGACCUGUGCCACCAGGCUCCAGGGACAGAAGUUCAGGUCAUAACCAUAUGGUGUAGAUGUGGGCCUGUCUUUCCUGAGGGUUCCAUUGUCCUAUAGCUCCUCCAGUUUCCUGGGUCCUUCCUUUCAGAGCUGCCUCACUGUGAAUUCUGGUAACCAUGUAGAGCCUGUGAGUCUGAAGAAGCCUUGUCCACGGUGGAUCCCUAGGCCCCAAGCCUGGCGCCCUCAGCGCUCCUCAACCCUGUUGCCUUAAGCUCUGCUCAUCUAUCAGGAGGCUUAUAGCACCAUGCUAAGAGGUUCAUGGGAUACUUUCUGUGCCUGUUACAGAUGCCCAGGCACCAGGGUGGGUAGAAGUGGUGGCCACUAGCUGAGGCUGGAAGGACAGUAGAACCUGGACAUUGUCUGGCAGAAGAAGAAUAACUUGGUCAUGGGCUAGCCUCCUGCCUCAAGGCUUAGAGGCCUAGUUUUGAGCAGAGGCCACUCUGGUGAGGCCUCUGGGCUUCUGACACUGGCCAUCUCUAGCCUCCAGGAGGGGCCUGUUGGACUGUGAAAAAAGCAGGUGGGGAAGAGCCCUAUGGUGUAUUUCUGGAGUCCUGGUGUCAUCUGUCAUCCUUCAUCUGGGCAAACAGGAAGUUUCCAUGUGUCUGGCUGUGACCAAGAAGGGCUGGGCCCAUCUUAGGAAACUCAGCACCUAGGGCCACCACACACAGAAUAAGGACAGUGGUGGUAUGGGAACGGGACAGUCUACAUUGGGAGAGGGAGAGACAUCACCCUGAAGAGAUGCCCAUACUGAGAAGGAGGCAGGGAGUGUACAUGUGUAUGUACACAUGUGGAUUUCUGUUCAUGUGCGUGUACACAUCUAUGAGGGAUGCGGUAAAGCCAAGUCCAUCUUCACAUCAGUGCUAAGUGACUACCCAGUUACAGGGAUGGUCACUGGGGACAGGCUACCUGGGGCCUCAGAAGCCCGAAUACCACAAGAAGGUUUGACUGUUUAGGAAGCUAAUCACUAUUCCUCUGGAUCAAUGUGAUGGUUUAUAUAUGUUUGGCCCAGGAAGUGGCACUAUUAGAAGGUGUGACCUUGUUGGAGUAGGUGUGUCAUUGUGGGUGUGAGCUUUAAAGAUCCUCAUCCUAACUGCCCGGAAGCCAGUAUUCUGCUAGCAGCCUUCACUCUAGGUACCUCCAGCACCAUGCCUUGGCUGAAUGUUGCCAUGUUCAUGCCUUGAUGGUAAUAGACUGAACCUCUGAACCUGUAAGCCAGCCCCAAUUAAAUGUUGUCCUUUGUAAGA